rnacentral:rRNA from 1 species
CCUACGGGAGGCAGCAGUCGAGAAUCAUUCACAAUGGGGGAAACCCUGAUGGUGCGACGCCGCGUGGGGGAAUGAAGGUCUUCGGAUUGUAAACCCCUGUCAUGUGGGAGCAAAUUAAAAAGAUAGUACCACAAGAGGAAGAGACGGCUAACUCUGUGCCAGCAGCCGCGGUAAUACAGAGGUCUCAAGCGUUGUUCGGAAUCACUGGGCGUAACGCGUGCGUAGGCUGUUUCGUAAGUCGUGUGUGAAAGGCGCGGGCUCAACCCGCGGACGGCACAUGAUACUGCGAGACUAGAGUAAUGGAAGGGGAACCGGAAUUCUCGGUGUAGCAGUGAAAUGCGUAGAUAUCGAGAGGAACACUCGUGGCGAAGGCGGGUUCCUGGACAUUAACUGACGCUGAGGCACGAAGGCCAGGGGAGCGAAAGGGAUUAGAUACCCCUGUAGUC